rnacentral:rRNA from 1 species
AAUGAACGCUGGCGGCAUGGAUUAGGCAUGCAAGUCGGGGGAAUCCCAGCAAUGGGGGAACCGGCGUAAGGGGCAGUAAGGCAUGGGUACCUACCUUGGGGUUCGGGAUAGCCAUCAGAGAUGGUGGGUAAUACCGGAUGACGUCGUGAGACCAAAGAUUCAUCGCCCUUAGAGGGGCCCAUGUGAUAUUAGCUAGUUGGUGGGGUAACGGCCCACCAAGGCGAAGAUGUCUAGCGGGUGUGAGGGCACGACCCGCGCCACUCGCACUGAGACACUGGCGAGACACCUACGGGUGGCUGCAGUCGAGGAUCUUCGGCAAUGAGCGCAAGCUUGACCGAGCGAUGCCGCGUGAGCGAUGAAGGCCUUCGGGUUGUAAAGCUCUUUAGUGGGGGAGAAAUGCCGCAAGGUGUGAUCUAUCCCAAAAAUAAGCACGGGCUAAGUUCGUGCCAGCAGCCGCAGUAA